UAGUAAUCGCGGAUCAGCAUGCCGCGGUGAAUACGUUCCCGGGCUUUGUACACACCGCCCGUCAAACCAUGGGAGUCGGAAAUGCCCGAAGUCGGUGACCCAACCGCAAGGAGGGAGCCGCCGAAGGCAGGUCCGGUAACUGGGGUGAAGUCGUAACAAGGUAUC
rnacentral:rRNA from 1 species